rnacentral:rRNA from 1 species
UACGUAGGGGGCUAGCGUUGUCCGGAAUCAUUGGGCGUAAAGCGCGCGUAGGCGGCCCGGUAAGUCCGCUGUAAAAGUCCAGGGCUCAACCCUGGAAAGCCGGUGGAUACUGUCGGGCUCGAGUCCGGAAGAGGCGAGUGGAAUUCCUGGUGUAGCGGUGGAAUGCGCAGAUAUCAGGAGGAACACCGAUGGCGAAGGCAGCUCGCUGGGACGGUACUGACGCUGAGGCACGAAAGCGUGGGGAGCGAACAGG